rnacentral:lncRNA from 1 species
UCGAACAAGAUUGGUGUAUUUGGGCGAAGUUCGUGUCCGAAAAUCCGCAAGUAAAUAGUAAUUUCUCAUGCCUAUAAGAAGGGAGGUAACUUCUUCACAACCUUUACACUUACUCAUUCUUAUAGAGAGGUCUCUUGAAAAAUUUCUUUUUUUUUUCUCUCUACCCUUUUCUUCUUGAUUCUUAAAAGGAAAAUACGAAAUGUCGAGUACGAAAGGGGUUCGAAGAAAGGGUCAUUGCCCGCGAAUGUUCCUGAAGAGCUCCUUGUGCCAAAGAUAGAAUUCGCUCCUCA